CAGAGAACAAGACUACUAACAAUAAACCAGUUUCAGUCCUCAAGCAAGAAGUUGUCUCAAUUUAUAAUGAAAACUUCACUGACAUUCCCAAGGACAGGGAGCCAUAUUAUGUUAAAAAUCAACGAUGUAUCAUCGAAAAAGAUAAAAUUCCUAUAUGUUCAUAUUGUUGGCCCCAACCUAUGACAUUGACAGAAGUCGAGAUUGUCGUUCCUGAUUUAAAAAACUACACAAAAUUUUACAAAUAUAUUGUAUAUAAUCACA